AGUGAACGCUGGCGGUAGGCCUAACACAUGCCAGUCGAACGGCAGCACAGUAAGAGCUUGCUCUUACGGGUGGCGAGUGGCGGACGGGUGAGGGAUACAUCGGAAUCUACUUUUUCGUGGGGGAUAACGUAGGGAAACUUACGCUAAUACCGCAUACGACCUACGGGUGAAAGCAGGGGAUCUUCGGACCUUGCGCGAUUGAAUGAGCCGAUGUCGGAUUAGCUAGUUGGCGGGGUAAAGGCCCACCAAGGCGACGAUCCGUAGCUGGUCUGAGAGGAUGAUCAGCCAAACUGGAACUGAGACACGGUCCAGACUCCUACGGGAGGCAGCAGUGGGGAAUAUUGGACAAUGGGCGCAAGCCUGAUCCAGCCAUACCGCGUGGGUGAAGAAGGCCUUCGGGUUGUAAAGCCCUUUUGUUGGGAAAGAAAAGCAGCAGGUUAAUACCCCGCUGUUCUGACGGUACCCAAAGAAUAAGCACCGGCUAACUUCGUG
rnacentral:rRNA from 1 species